GGCCGGAUGGCACAGUGGUUAGUGCUUCCAUUAGGAAAGGGUGGGCCUGGGCUUCGAAUCCCACCCUUGUCU